rnacentral:rRNA from 1 species
UACGUAGGUGGCGAGCGUUGUCCGGAUUCACUGGGCGUAAAGGGAGCGUAGGCGGACUUUUAAGUGAGAUGUGAAAUACCCGGGCUCAACUUGGGUGCUGCAUUUCAAACUGGAAGUCUAGAGUGCAGGAGAGGAGAAUGGAAUUCCUAGUGUAGCGGUGAAAUGCGUAGAGAUUAGGAAGAACACCAGUGGCGAAGGCGAUUCUCUGGACUGUAACUGACGCUGAGGCUCGAAAGCGUGGGGAGCAAACAGGAUUAGAUA